rnacentral:rRNA from 1 species
GACGAACCGAGCGAACGUUGUUCGGAAUCACUGGGCUUAAAGGGCGCGUAGGCGGGUGCUCAAGUCCGGGGUGAAAUCCCACAGCUCAACUGUGGAAUUGCCUCGGAUACUGGGUGUCUCGAGGGUGGUAGGGGUAUGCGGAACUAUCGGUGGAGCGGUGAAAUGCGCAGAUAUCAGGAGGAACACCGGUGGCGAAGGCGGGUCUCUGGGCCGAUACUGACGCUGAGGAGCGAAAGCGUGGGGAGCGAACAGGAUUAGAAACCC